rnacentral:rRNA from 1 species
GAUCCUAGCUUGCUAGGAGGCGUCGAGCGGCGGACGGGUGAGUAAUGCAUAGGAAUCUGCCCGGUAGUGGGGGAUAACCUGGGGAAACCCAGGCUAAUACCGCAUACGCCCUACGGGGGAAAGCAGGGGAUCUUCGGACCUUGCGCUAUCGGAUGAGCCUAUGUCGGAUUAGCUAGUUGGUGAGGUAACGGCUCACCAAGGCUGCGAUCCGUAGCUGGUCUGAGAGGAUGAUCAGCCACAUCGGGACUGAGACACGGCCCGAACUCCUACGGGAGGCAGCAGUGGGGAAUAUUGGACAAUGGGCGAAAGCCUGAUCCAGCCAUGCCGCGUGUGUGAAGAAGGCCUUCGGGUUGUAAAGCACUUUCAGUGAGGAAGAAAGCCUUGAGGUUAAUACCCUCGAGGGAGGACAUCACUCACAGAAGAAGCACCGGCUAACUCCGUGCCAGCAGCCGCGGUAAUACGGAGGGUGCGAGCGUUAAUCGGAAUUACUGGGCGUAAAGCGCGCGUAGGCGGCUUGAUAAGCCGGUUGUGAAAGCCCCGGGCUCAACCUGGGAACGGCAUCCGGAACUGUCAGGCUAGAGUGCAGGAGAGGAAGGUAGAAUUCCCGGUGUAGCGGUGAAAUGCGUAGAGAUCGGGAGGAAUACCAGUGGCGAAGGCGGCCUUCUGGACUGACACUGACGCUGAGGUGCGAAAGCGUGGGUAGCAAACAGGAUUAGAUACCCUGGUAGUCCACGCCGUAAACGAUGUCGACUAGCCGUUGGGCUCCUU